rnacentral:misc_RNA from 1 species
GGAAGGAUCAUUAAAGUAUUUAUUUACUUAAACCACCUGUGUACUUACCUGUUGCUUCCGUGGAAUACAGGGCUUCUCGCUGGCCUUUACAGGCCUUGAUGACAGCCUUCCACGGGUGUACCUUUUAAAAACCUGUUUUUGAUGUUCUGUCUGAAUUAGCUUUAUAAUAAAGUUAAAACUUUCAACAACGGAUCUCUUGGUUCUCGCAUCGAUGAAGAACGCAGCGAAAUGCGAUAAGUAGUGUGAAUUGCAGAUUUCAGUGAAUCAUCGAAUCUUUGAACGCACAUUGCGCCCUUUGGCAUUCCGAAGGGCAUGCCUGUCUGAGCCUCAACAAGUCAAUCAAACUUACGUUUGGUAAUGGGGGAUGAGGUGCAAGCUUCACCCCUUCAAAAAAUUGGCGGUUCUCAAUCAGCUUGUAAAACGUAGUAAUUUUCGCUCGUUAAAGCAACUGGUUUAGUAGCCUGCCAACCAAAAGUCAUUGACACUUCAGUUACUUGAGCUCAGAUCAGGUAGGGCUACCCCCUGAACUUAAGCAUAUCAAUAAGGGGAGGAAAAGAAACCAACAGGGAUUGCCUCAGUAACGGCGAGUGAAGCGGCAAAAGCUCAAAUUUUAAAUCUGGCGUCUUCGACGUCCGAGUUGUAAUUUGUAGAAGUAGCUUUGGGUUACGGCCAGGUUUAAGUUCCUUGGAACAGGACGUCAUGGAGGGUGAGAAUCCCGUAAAUGGCUUGGCUAGUGCCUAUGUAUAGCGCCUUCGAAGAGUCGAGUUGUUUGGGAAUGCAGCUCUAAGUGGGUGGUAAAUUCCAUCUAAAGCUAAAUAUUGGCGAGAGACCGAUAGCGCACAAGUAGAGUGAUCGAAAGGUGAAAAGCACUCCGGAAGGAGAGUUAAACAGCACGUGAAAUUGUUGAAAGGGAAGCGCUUGAGACUAGACUCAUGUAGGGUUGAUCAGCCUCCAUUCUUGGUGGUGCACUCUUCCUUGCUUGGGCCAGCAACAGUUUCGACGGCGGGAUAAAGGUGGAGGGAAUGUGGCUCCCCCGGGAGUGUUAUAGCCUUCUACGUAAUGCCGCCAGUUGAGACUGAGGACCGCGCUUCGGCUAGGUUGCUGGCAUAAUGGUCUUAAGCGACCCGUCUUGAAACACGGACCAAGGAGUCUAACAUCUAUGCGAGUGUUUGGGUGGAAAACCCUUGCGCGUAAUGAAAGUGAACGGAGGUGGGAUCCCUUUUGGGCGCACCAUCGACCGAUCCUGAUGUUCUCGGAUGGAUUUGAGUAGGAGCAUAGCUGUUGGGACCCGAAAGAUGGUGAACUAUGCCUGUAUAGGGUGAAGCCAGAGGAAACUCUGGUGGAGGCUCGCAGCGGUUCUGACGUGCAAAUCGAUCGUCAAAUAUGGGUAUAGGGGCGAAAGACUAAUCGAACCAUCUAGUAGCUGGUUCCUGC